rnacentral:rRNA from 1 species
AGGCUCAUUAAGGGUAUCUGGAGCUUGCUCCCGGAUGUUAGCGGCGGACGGGUGAGUAACACGUGGGUAACCUGCCUGUAAGACUGGGAUAACUCCGGGAAACCGGAGCUAAUACCGGAUAGUUCCUUGAACCGCAUGGUUCAAGGAUGAAAGACGGUUUCGGCUGUCACUUACAGAUGGACCCGCGGCGCAUUAGCUAGUUGGUGAGGUAACGGCUCACCAAGGCGACGAUGCGUAGCCGACCUGAGAGGGUGAUCGGCCACACUGGGACUGAGACACGGCCCAGACUCCUACGGGAGGCAGCAGUAGGGAAUCUUCCGCAAUGGACGAAAGUCUGACGGAGCAACGCCGCGUGAGUGAUGAAGGUUUUCGGAUCGUAAAGCUCUGUUGUUAGGGAAGAACAAGUGCAAGAGUAACUGCUUGCACCUUGACGGUACCUAACCAGAAAGCCACGGCUAACUACGUGCCAGCAGCCGCGGUAAUACGUAGGUGGCAAGCGUUGUCCGGAAUUAUUGGGCGUAAAGGGCUCGCAGGCGGUUUCUUAAGUCUGAUGUGAAAGCCCCCGGCUCAACCGGGGAGGGUCAUUGGAAACUGGGAAACUUGAGUGCAGAAGAGGAGAGUGGAAUUCCACGUGUAGCGGUGAAAUGCGUAGAGAUGUGGAGGAACACCAGUGGCGAAGGCGACUCUCUGGUCUGUAAC